rnacentral:rRNA from 1 species
UGAGGAAUCUUCCACAAUGGGCGAAAGCCUGAUGGAGCGACACCGCGUGAAGGAUGAAGCCUUUAUUGGUGUAAACUUCUUUUCUGUGGGAAGAUGAUGACGGUACCACAGGAAUAAGGGGCGGCAAACUACGUGCCAGCAGCCGCGGUAAUACGUAGGCCCCGAGCGUUAUCCGGAAUUACUGGGCGUAAAGAGUGCGUAGGCGGAGCGGGAAGUCAGACGUGAAAGGCCGGGGCUCAACCCCGUGCUUGCGUCCGAAACUCCCGCCCUAGAAUCGGGGAGAGGUAAGCAGAAUGGUAUGAGUAGGGGUGCAAUCCGUUGAUACAUACCAGAAUACCAAAAGCGAAGGCAGCUUACUGGAACCGCAUUGACGCUGAGGCACGAAAGCGUGGGGAGCGAA